rnacentral:misc_RNA from 1 species
GCUUUCUCAAAUAUGGUUAAAGCAUUCUUUAGAUGGUUCAUUGAUCUUUAUCAGCGUUAACUAACAUUUUCGAAGAAUUUGAAAAAUGAAUUGAGAAACAGAUUCUUUUAUGUUUUUGACAUUUUCUUUUGUGGAAGGCAGCAAGAAUUCUUUCUCAAAUGUAGUUAAAACAUUCUUUAGAUGGUUCAUUGAUCUUUAUCAGCGUUAACUAACAUUUUCGAAGAAUUUGAAAAAUGAAUUGAGAAACAGAUUCUUUUAUGUUUUUGACAUUUUCUUUUGUGGAAGGCAGCAAGAAU